rnacentral:rRNA from 1 species
AUUGAACGCUGGCGGCAGGCCUAACACAUGCAAGUCGAACGAGUGGCGGACGGGUGAGUAAUGUCUGGGAAACUGCCCGAUGGAGGGGGAUAACUACUGGAAACGGUAGCUAAUAACGCAUACCAUCGGAUGUGCCCCGAGGGGAGUAGCUAGGAGGUGGGGUAAAGGCUCACCUAGGCGACGAUCCCUAGCUGGUCUGGGAGGAGGACCAGCAAAACUGGAACUGAGACACGGUCCAGACUCCUACGGGAGGCAGCAGUGGGGAAUAUUGCACAAUGGGCGCAAGCCUGAUGCAUCCAUGCCGCGUGUAUGAAGAAGGCCUUCGGGUUGUAAAGUACUUUCAGCGAGGAGGCGUUACUCGCAGAAGAAGCACCGGCUAACUCCGUGCCAGCAGCCGCGGUAAUUC